rnacentral:rRNA from 1 species
GACGAACGCUGGCGGCGUGCCUAAUACAUGCAAGUCGAACGCAGGGGGGACGGGUGAGUAACACGUGGGUAACCUCCCAUCAGAGGGGAUAACACUUGGCAACAGGUGCUAAACCGAUACUGAUGGAUGGACCCGCGGUGCAUUAGCUAGUUGGUGGGGUAACUGCUCACCAAGGCCACGAUGCAGAGCCGACCUUAGAGGGUGACCGGCCACACUGGGACGGAGACACGGCCCAGACUCCUACGGGAGGCAGCAGUAGGGAAUCGUGGGCAAUGGACGAAAGUCUGACCGAGCAACGCCGCGUGAGUGAAGAAGGUUUUCGGAUCGUAAAACUCUGUUGUUAGAGAAGCGGUAUCUAACCAGAAAGCACCGGCUAACUCCGUGCCAGCAGCCGCGGUAAUUC